rnacentral:rRNA from 1 species
UACGACUACAUAUCAGGCAUAUCAAUAAGCGGAGGAAAAGAAACUAACAAGGAUUCCCUUAGUAACGGCGAGUGAAGCGGGAAGAGCUCAAAUCUGAAAUCUUCAAGGUUCUACCUUGACGAAUUGUAGUUUAAAGAAGUGUUUUCUGUUAGUAGGAGUAGCAAAAGUUCUCUGGAAUAGGACAUCAUAGAGGGUGAGAAUCCCGUAUUUGGUUAUUCUUUCUAGCUUUGUGAUACACUUUCAAAGAGUCGGAUUGUUUGGGAAUGCAGUCCAAAAUGGGUGGUAAAUUUCAUCUAAAGCUAAAUAGUUGGCGAGAGACCGAUAGCGAACAAGUACCGUGAGGGAAAGAUGAAAAGAACUUUGAAAAGAGAGUUAAACAGUACGUGAAAUUGUCAAAAGGGAAGCGUUUGACACCAGUGUUGUUUAGUUCGAAAAUCAAUUCAAGAGUGGCUUGAUUCUAGUGUAGUAUUGACUUCAUCAGCUUUCUGCUUUCUUCUCGAGUAUUAUUGAAUGCACUUUUCAGGUUAACAAGUCAACAUCAAUUUCUUUUGUUGUAAAAGGGUAUAGGAAGGUGGCUUGCUCUUCGGCGCAAGUGUUUAUAGCCUUUUAUCUCUGCAAUCGGAGAGAUUGAGGUCUGCAGCGUAGAUCCUUCAGGGUUAGAUACAUUGUGCUAAGCUAUAGCCUUGUAUAGACAACUUGUUGACUAUGCUCAGUCAUGUAGCUUACUCGCUGAUGCUAUUUUACCUACGCUUAGGAUGUUGAUCUACAGAGCGAGAGU